UGCCAUGAAAUGCAGCCAACAGGGUUAGUCCUGAGAGGGGCUGAGCACUUGCAGCUCUCACUGGUUUCAGAGGGAGAUGCAGGAGCUCAGCACUGCUCAGAAUUGGCCCAUUGUGAUGGAAGUGGAACAUUCCACCGUAGGGAUGGUAACCUAGACAAACAGAGGUGGGGACAGGCAGGGGGAACUAGGGAUGUAAGUUUUCAGGGGUGAGGGCUGCAUAAAUCCCACUCCAUCCAAACCACAGGGAAAGGAGCGGUUCAUGACCCAUCAAUUCUACCAAGAGGAGGAGAGUUACAGAUGCUCAGGAUUUGAGUACAAAGGAAUAGGAAUGGAGCUGAACAGAUCCAACACCUGAAAGGACGAUUGGAUCUUGUAAGGGACGAAACCAUGAAAAAGACCCUUCAUUCAGUAAAGCAGCAGAAUUGGCUCUGAGGAGAGGUGAAAGAAAUGCAGCUGAUCUGAUCUCCUGGGGAUUGCAGAUUAUAAGCAGUCAUAUUACUGCAGAACAAACAAAUGCAUGUUGCCAGACCUGGAAAAAUUUGCCUUCCUUAUCUAGAAUGGGAAGACAAUCACUUAUCACCAUCAAGUUUCAAACCCACAAU